ensembl:lncRNA
GCACGACCGAGAGAGCACUGUGUCGAGCGUGAUUAUUUACUUCUCCCCUUUUCAGCUGACUACAAGAAAACAACAACGUCUGAAGCCUCAUGAAAGAAACUGUGAGCACGCGUUGGAUUCCUAUAUGGCCGGCCUCCUAGCUUGUGCUCAACCCUGCGUGUGGAAGCGACAGCCACAUUGAUGCGUGGGCGACUGGGCGUAUUCACAGUCACGCGGCUAUCAGCUAAUUCAGCGGCACAUACUGGAGGGAUGAACACACUGCACAGUGUGACAGCACAUUAUUCUACCAUGUUUUAUCUUUAUUUAAUAGCCUCAGACCUCAGGGGAAACAUCACCCAUUAAAGCCUGACAGCUCAUCUGGGCAGAGGGAAAAAAGAGCUUCUUGAAAAUAGGCCCAACAGUUAUUUAGAUCAAUCUGAUGUUGCCACAGAAAGCAGUUAACACAAAAAAGAGUUUUAACUGAACCAAUUGAAAACAAGCCCUCACCCUUAAAUGUAGUGGAAGCAAAUGCAUUUACCAAGGGUUAUGUUACUUAUAUCAGCAUGGUACAAAGUAAAACAAACAGGUCAUCAGGCCUCCUGUUUAUGUGACGAGAGUUGAAUGAAUGCAGGCAAUUCCAGGUUGCAGUGCUUUUACAGCGUCCUCUCCAGCAGAAGCAUCCAGACUUGCUUUGAAAGACCCCAUAGAGAGACCAGAAAAUGCCUCACAUAAAAGACAUAUGGCAUAUCUUUUUAUC